GACGAACGCUGGCGGCGUGCUUAACACAUGCAAGUCGAACGAUGAACUUGGAGCUUGCUCUGGGGGAUUAGUGGCGAACGGGUGAGUAACACGUGAGUAACCUGCCCUGGACUCUGGGAUAACUUCGAGAAAUCGGAGCUAAUACCGGAUAGGACCUUGCACCGCAUGGUGUGGGGUGGAAAGUUUUUCGGUUUGGGAGGGACUCGCGGCCUAUCAGCUUGUUGGUGGGGUAAUGGCGCACCAAGGCGUAGACGGGUAGCCGGCAUGAGAGUGUGACCGGCCACACUAGGACUGAGACACGGCCCAGACUCCGACGGGAGGCAGCAGUGGGGAAUAUUGCACAAUGGGCGCAAGCCUGAUGCAGCAACGCCGCGUGCGGGAUGACGGCCUUCGGGUUGUAAACCGCUUUUAGUAGGGAAGAAGCCUUCGGGUGACGGUACCUGCAGAAAAAGGACCGGCUGACUACGUGCCAGCCGCCGCGGUAAAAC
rnacentral:rRNA from 1 species